rnacentral:rRNA from 1 species
AGAGUUUGAUCAUGGCUCAGAUUGAACGCUGGCGGCAUGCUUUACACAUGCAAGUCGAGCGGGGUGUGGGGGCAACCUCAUAUUCAGCGGCGGACGGGUGAGUAAUGCAUCGGAACGUAUCCUGUAGUGGGGGACAACCCAGCGAAAGCUGGGCUAAUACCGCAUAGGCUCGGGAGAGGAAAGCGGGGGCUCGCAAGACCUCGCGCUAUAGGAGCGGCCGAUGUCCGAUUAGCUAGUUGGUGGGGUAAAGGCCUACCAAGGCGACGAUCGGUAGCUGGUCUGAGAGGAUGAUCAGCCACACUGGGACUGAGACACGGCCCAGACUCCUACGGGAGGCAGCAGUGGGGAAUUUUGGACAAUGGGGGCAACCCUGAUCCAGCCAUGCCGCGUGCGGGAAGAAGGCCUUCGGGUUGUAAACCGCUUUUGGUCGGGAAGAAAAGGUCUACCCUAAUACGGUGGACUGUUGACGGUACCGGCAGAAUAAGCACCGGCUAACUACGUGCCAGCAGCCGCGGUAAUACGUAGGGUGCGAGCGUUAAUCGGAAUUACUGGGCGUAAAGCGUGCGCAGGCGGUUGGUUAAGUCUGAUGUGAAAGCCCCGGGCUCAACCUGGGAAUGGCAUUGGAAACUGGCUGGCUAGAGUGUGGCAGAGGGGGGUGGAAUUCCGCGUAGCAGUGAAAUGCGUAGAGAUGCGGAGGAACACCGAUGGCGAAGGCAGCCCCCUGGGCUAGCACUGACGCUCAGGCACGAAAGCGUGGGGAGCAAACAGGAUUAGAUACCCUAGUAGUCC